UACAACUUUCAGCAACGGAUCUCUUGGCUCUCGCAUCGAUGAAGAACGCAGCGAAUCGCGAUAUGUAAUGUGAAUUGCAGAU
rnacentral:rRNA from 1 species